UACGAGGGGGGCGAGCGUUGUUCGGAAUUACUGGGCGUAAAGGGCUCGCAGGCGGCCGACUAAGUCAGACGUGAAAUCCCUUGGCUUAACCAAGGAAUGGCGUCUGAUACUGGACGGCUUGAAUUCGGGAGAGGGAUGUGGAAUUCCAGGUGUAGCGGUGAAAUGCGUAGAUAUCUGGAAGAACACCCGUGGCGAAGGCGGCUCUCUGGAACGCAACUGACGCUGAGACGCGAAAGCGUGGGGAGCAAACAGG
rnacentral:rRNA from 1 species